AGGAGCGACCCUCUCUGGCAGUCACCCCGGAAAAGAAAGGACAGGGCCUGGCAUCCCCAAGCAGGUGUAUAAACUGCUCUCGGUGAAUGCUUUUCCGGCUUUCCAGGAGACAAAGACUCAGCCGACUUCUCAAAAAGGAGCUCAACAUUUGUAGCAGUAGCAGGGUUGGGUCGCGGACGUUGAGCGGAGAGACCAGGCGUAAUUUUACGUUCUGUCAAAAGAAUCAUUGCAGUGCGAGUACCCGUAUACUAGAUAAAAAUACCUACUGAGAAAAACCAGUUAGUGUUACGCUUCUGGUAACGAACACCGAUUACUGAGCUUUUUCAUGGACAGUCAUGUGCAUAUCGCUUGGAAUACCGAGUGUCUGGCAAAGUUACAGAGAGGCAGAGGCAGAGAGAGGUCUUCCAUCUACUGGUCCACUCCCCAGAUGGCUGCAACGGCCAGAGCUGCACCUAUCUGAAGCCAGGAGCCAGGAGCUUCUUCCAGGUCUCCCACGGUGAAAAACUCAAGCCUCUGUGAAUUCUGCUUCAAAGUACUAGGAAGAGCCGACACUGAAGGAUCACAAUAGCUGUGUGGCUGUGAAUACUUAGUGCCACAAACCAGUAAUCCCUGUGACAAUUUUCCUGCACAUCCUGCUUCAAACCAAAAGUGUCUGUGUAAGUGUUUACAGGAGAUGAUAAUGGAACCAAGGCCUUCACCAACCUGGUGGUCAACCAAAUGCUGCUACAGGGAUAUACUUGGCUCCUCACCUGGGAGACAGCGGGCUUGAGACAUCGCCCCAUGCCAGCGAAGAGUACCUCAUCACCCCAUGUCAGCAGGAAGUAGCUCUAAACACAGAUCAUCGUCCUUCUACCCCUCCUGGACUUUUGGGACUAAUGUAAUCCUGUACAACUCCUGCUUUAUAAAAAACAAAAGGGGGAAUGUUAGAAAACUGGCACAGUCUUAUCUAUGGUGUGAUCUACACUCUGACACCAUCCUAGGCUGUAGCCCCCGCCGCCAUUGCUGGAAACCAAGUGGCCACAUGGCCCAACCACCAGUGUCAAGCUCCACCCCCAUCCUAAUGGGAUUGGCUGCUCUUACAUCCCUGCCCACCCCCUGGCAAAGUUUUAAAAAUGACCUGCUCCUGAACACGUGUCUUCCUCCUCUCUCUCCUCUCUUUCUCCUUCUCUCCGUCUCCUGAUCUCUCUGUCUCUUGAUCUCUCUUAUGUUCUCCUUCUGCCUCUUUGACCUUCUUUGCCCCUUCUCUCUGGUCUGCUGGGUUUUCUCCAAUAAACCCUUUCCCUUAAAAAUAAAUAAAUAAAAAUUAAAAAAUCUCUCUGCUUGCCUGCUUGGAAAUUCUUACAUGUGAGAUGAAGAACUGAGAUAAUAAUAUUCUCUCCGCUGACAUUUCACCCAUAACAAUAGUUUAGCAGGGUCAGCGUUGUGGCAUAACAGAUAAAGCCACCACCUGUGAUGCCAGCAUCUCAUGUGGGCACUGGUUUGCAUCC